rnacentral:snRNA from 1 species
GUCCCUUCGGAGACAUCCGAUAAAAUUGGAACGAUAUAGAGACGAUCAGCAUGGCCUUUGCGCAAGGAUGACACGCACAAAUCGAGAAAUAGUCCAAAUUUUU